UUUUAAAUACGUACUCGGAGGUUAUUUGAAUUCUGAAAAAUGUUCGAUGCCUAGCAAUGGCCACUGACUCAGCUGCUCACCACUUUUGAAAACCAGGCUCCUAACUGGCAAGUGGAGUGGUGCAGAUAAGUCUGUACCACAUCAUGGGGAUCUUUAUGUAAACUGAGAAAAACUUCCCCAUACAAGACUGACAACACUGACUUAGCCAUCUUCUCAGCAUAACCCCCCACCCUCCCAAACCACAAACAAAUCA
rnacentral:lncRNA from 1 species